rnacentral:rRNA from 1 species
UGGGGAAUAUUGGACAAUGGGCGAAAGCCUGAUCCAGCCAUGCCGCGUGAGUGAUGAAGGCCUUAGGGUUGUAAAGCUCUUUCGGCGGGGACGAUAAUGACGGUACCCGCAGAAGAAGCCCCGGCUAACUUCGUGCCAGCAGCCGCGGUAAUACGAAGGGGGCUAGCGUUGCUCGGAAUCACUGGGCGUAAAGGGCGCGUAGGCGGCCGAUCAAGUCAGAGGUGAAAGCCCAAGGCUCAACCUUGGAAUUGCCUUUGAUACUGUUCGGCUCGAGACCGGAAGAGGUAAGUGGAACUGCGAGUGUAGAGGUGAAAUUCGUAGAUAUUCGCAAGAACACCAGUGGCGAAGGCGGCUUACUGGUCCGGUUCUGACGCUGAGGCGCGAAAGCGUGGGGAGCAAA